GGUGCCCUAUCCCCGUGCCAUACCUUCACACUUAGGAGACCCGGGAGGCGGAGUCUUGCCGCAAAAAGAACGAUACACGCCUGUGGAUCCGUUGACGAAACCGCAAGGUUUAAGAGGGCCACAUUAUAAGGUGUUACGUCGAUUCCGUUUUGGUGUUCUUCGGAAAAGUUGUAAGUAACUAUAGGUUAGGACUAUUCGAGAUAAAAAUAGAUACACUGUAAAAGAUAUAUCCUUGUUUAUU